rnacentral:rRNA from 1 species
UACGGAGGGUGCAAGCGUUAAUCGGAAUUACUGGGCAUAAAGCGCACGUAGGCGGUCCGUUAAGUCAUGUGUGAAAUCCCCCGGCUCAACCGGGGAAUUGCGCAUGAUACUGGCGGGCUAGAGAUCGAUAGGGGUGAGCGGAACUCCAGGUGGAGCGGUGAAAUGCGUAGAUAUCUGGAGGAACACCGGUGGCGAAAAGGCG